rnacentral:rRNA from 1 species
GGCAGCGCGGGCUUCGGCCUGGCGGCGAGUGGCGGACGGGUGAGUAAUGCUUGGGAAUCUGCCUAGUAGUGGGGGAUAACCCGGUGAAAACCGGGCUAAUACCGCAUACGUCCUACGGGAGAAAGCGGGGGAUCGUAAGACCUCGCGCUAUUAGAUGAGCCCAAGUCGGAUUAGCUAGUUGGUAGGGUAAUGGCCUACCAAGGCAACGAUCCGUAGCUGGUCUGAGAGGACGAUCAGCCACACCGGAACUGAGACACGGUCCGGACUCCUACGGGAGGCAGCAGUGGGGAAUAUUGGACAAUGGGGGCAACCCUGAUCCAGCAAUGCCGCGUGUGUGAAGAAGGCCUGCGGGUUGUAAAGCACUUUCAGCAGGGAAGAACAGCGUGGGGCUAAUACCUCCGCGUCCUGACGUAACCUGAAGAAGAAGCACCGGCUAACUCCGUGCCAGCAGCCGCGGUAAUACGGAGGGUGCGAGCGUUAAUCGGAAUUACUGGGCGUAAAGCGUACGUAGGUGGCUUGAUAAGUCGGAUGUGAAAGCCCUGGGCUCAACCUGGGAACUGCAUCCGAAACUGUCUGGCUAGAGUAAGGGAGAGGGAAGCGGAAUUUCCGGUGUAGCGGUGAAAUGCGUAGAUAUCGGAAGGAACACCAGUGGCGAAGGCGGCUUCCUGGCCCAUUACUGACACUGAGGUACGAAAGCGUGGGGAGCAAACAGG